AGUACAAUACUGGAAUUAUCUUUUACAUGAGCAUUAGCUUUUCUUAAGAUGUUAAGAUGUUUUUUGGCUGGCAGAAAAUCAAUAUAACUUCCCAAUGCGUGAGAAAAAGAAGUGGACACUUACUGGGGUGUUUUUGGCAGGUUACUUUAUCUCAGAACUUUCUUGCAGCUGACAUUUAAAUGUCAAGAAAUUGAGGCUGGACAUCAUGUUGUUACGGCGCAUCUCUCCAAUGCUUAGAUGUUGAUAGCUCUGCGGUUACCUUUUGUUGAGGCUAAUUUUUGUAUAUGUUGUUGAAACGAUAGAGAGAGAUUAAGCCUUGGGGUGGCUUGUUUGGGCAAUUUAUUCAUAGUUCUGGUGAUGCGACAUUUUGCUAGAAAACCCAAAGAAUACUUCUACCAGAGUACCUUUUAAGUUUUUUUUA
rnacentral:lncRNA from 1 species